CACGUAGGGGGCAAGCGUUGUUCGGAAUUACUGGGUGUAAAGGGUUCGUAGGCGGUGCGGCAAGUCGGGAGUGAAAUCUCUGGGCUCAACCCAGAGGCUGCUUCCGAAACUGCUGUGCUUGAGUGUGGGAGAGGCGCGUGGAAUUGCAGGUGUAGCGGUGAAAUGCGUAGAUAUCUGCAGGAACACCCGUGGCGAAAGCGACGUACUGGACCUCUUCUGACGCUGAGGCGCGAAAGCUAGGGGAGCAAACGGG
rnacentral:rRNA from 1 species